UACGGAGGGGGCAAGCGGUGUUCGGACUUACAGGGCGUAAAGCGCGCGUCGGCGGCUGGGUAAGUCAGAUGUGAAAGCCCUCGGCUCAACCGGGGAACUGCGUCUGAUACUGCCUGGCUUGAGUCCGGUAGGGGGUAGCGGAAUUCCCGGUGUAGCGGUGGAAUGCGUAGAUAUCGGGAGGAAUACCGACGGCGAAGGCGGCUACCUGGGCCGGUACUGACGCUGAGGCGCGAAAGCGAGGGGAGCAAAUAGG
rnacentral:rRNA from 1 species